GAUGAGUCUGACCUAAAGGGACAGCCAGGGGAAUUUAAAGAGCAUAGUUGAGAGAUGAUGUGCAUGCAGAAUCUAUAGAAUUUGCUAACUGAUUGAUUAAUUGUGGGUAGGAAGAGAGAAAUCAAAGAAAGUGGAGGUUUUGAGUUUCUAGAUAAUUGCAAGAGAGAAAAGAGACAAUUACAAAGGAAAGGAGAAGGAGCUACUUCUUGAGAGAAGAUCAGUUUAGAUUUAGACAUUUUAAGAAUUCAAAGGGUUGUCAAGACAGCCAGACGGACAUGGACACUAAUAAGUUAGAAAUAAAGGUUUUGUAAUAUGGGAAAGAGGACUGAGCUAGAAAAUAGACUCAUAGAUAAUCAGCCUAGGAGUGAUAUUGCUGUGAGAUAAAAGAAGAAAACAAAGUCAGAAUCUUGGAAAACACCCUCUUCAGAGUCUCGCUGCUCAAAACGUGGUCAGUGGCCCAGCAGCACUGACAUGAGGACCUUAGUUGGAAACUCAGAAUCUCAGGCUCCACCCCAGACCUGCUGAACCAGCAUCUUCAACUUAACAAGAACCCGAAGAGAUUUGUGCCACAUCAAAAAGUUUGAGAAGCUCUGAUCUAGGUGAGCCAAGCCAGCAAAGAAAGGGGGUGGAGCAGAAAAUGGGAGGAGAAUAGGGUAAUGCAGAAUCAUCAAGACAAGGUAAAUUGGACUUUCACAAAAACGGGGCUGGAAGGAGUGUUGCUCAACAAUAUCCAAAACCACAGAGGUUGAAAAGCACAAGGAAAGAAGCUGGACCCUGGACACGGUGACUCUGAUUCAAUUAUGCAGAUGACCACAAGCCUCUGGGGUUGGCAGAGCCACAAGAAAGAAGGUGCCUGGAUGAAGGAGAGCUACCCACUGACCUGGACACCCAAUUAUAGGAUAGACAGUGAAGUGCAACUACAGCCCGCAAAUGAAAAUGAAUAAAAUUAAUCCAGCCCCUCAAGGCAGUCAUCUGUCUUAGAGCUAUUGGAAUCCUGGAUCAUUGUGGGAAAUGAAAAGAACUGGUUUUUAGCAAGGAGACCAAGAAACUCUACUCCCUAGGGGCUAGCAAUGAGAGAAAGGAAGCCUUGAGUCUUUGAGCACAGGGUGACAGUUUGGGUCCUAUGUGAGAUGAUCAAAUCCACAGCAACAGAGGAAAGGACAAAAGGAAAAGAUACUUCGAUGGAAUCAGCAGCCAUUGAUCCAAUGCCAACUCCAAGACUGGAACGUCGCAAUGAUAGUUCCAAGGCGGAAAUUUGACGUAAUUCUUUUCGACACAGUUUUACAGGUCUGGAUGCCCAUUUUAAUUCUUCUGAAAGCAUGCCUCCUUCUGGCUUCAGGACUCCAUCUCCAGCCUUAUGAUCUAAAAAUAAUCCCCAAACCAAAAAAUUAGAUAUUAUUUCCUCAAAAUUAGGUGUUUUAAUCAAAACAUCUUAACAUAAAUACAUUAUUAUCACCCAAUAUGCAUAA
rnacentral:lncRNA from 1 species